rnacentral:rRNA from 1 species
UACGGAGGAUGCGAGCGUUAUCCGGAUUUAUUGGGUUUAAAGGGUGCGUAGGCGGGCUUUUAAGUCAGCGGUAAAAAUUCGGGGCUCAACCCCGUCCGGCCGUUGAAACUGGGGGCCUUGAGUGGGCGAGAAGAAGGCGGAAUGCGUGGUGUAGCGGUGAAAUGCAUAGAUAUCACGCAGAACCCCGAUUGCGAAGGCAGCCUUCCGGCGCCCUACUGAUGCUGAGGCACGAAAGUGCGGGGAUCGAACAGG